rnacentral:rRNA from 1 species
GCCGGCAGCUAGCUCUCUGCAACUCUCACAUGGUCGCCAACUGAAGCUAAGCUGGGCUGUGCCCGGUCAGUACCUGGAUGGGAGACCACAUGGGAAAGCUAGGUUGCUGCUGGAA